rnacentral:rRNA from 1 species
UACGUAGGGGGCAAGCGUUGUCCGGAUUUAUUGGGCGUAAAGAGCGUGUAGGCGGCCGUACAGGUCAGCUGUGAAAACUCGAGGCUCAACCUCGAGACGUCGGUUGAAACCGUACGGCUAGAGUCCGGAAGAGGAGAGUGGAAUUCCCGGUGUAGCGGUGAAAUGCGCAGAUAUCGGGAAGAACACCCGUGGCGAAGGCGGCUCUCUGGGACGGUACUGACGCUGAGACGCGAAAGCGUGGGGAGCGAACGAGGA